CAUAAACAUUGAUGUUUGGUUAAACCCAAUGACCAGAUCACAACUGAAGUAUACAUGUGUGUGCGUUGUUGAUUUGUCGUGUGCGUAUCUAAUGUUUCAAUUUAUUUCACAUUGUUUACCUUACGUCCAUUUUCAUGUCUGGCAUGAUGUUAUGAGUUCGCAUUGGUUUAAAAUUUACUCUAAAAACAAUAAACAAAGUUUUCUCCAAUCUCGUCAUGUGUAUCGGAUAUCGGUAGAGGCACAUAAAAUUGAACUCGGUCAUCGGUAGAUAUAAUCAAUCCGAAUUCAAGAGCAAAAAUAUAUUUUAAAAAAAAAGAGAAAGAAAUUCAUGAUAAAUUCACAACAAAUCUCAAAAGGGAGUAAAUGAUUCAUCUAGAUAAUUAUCACAUAUUCAGUGGGUACCGUCCGUAUAAAACUUAUAAAAUAUACCUUCCGGAAUUUUCCAGCCUCCAUUUAUGUACUACAUGUACAUUACCAGUGACGUCACUGGAAAGAGAAGUCUGACGUCUGCAAGUUCUAGGGCCUAGUUAAAGAUAUGCAUUCCAGGAUGGUGACUGAAGCUCAUCUUUGUAAACACCUAAAUGCCUAGAAUGGACUCCAAAACAGAUUCUUAAAGUUUAACCAGUAUAAUCUUGAAUAUGGACAAAAAGUAUACACUUGGAACACACACAAAAACAGAUGAGUCCAUGCCAAGCUAAAGAUUAAUGCAGAAGGUAAGUUCAAUUUUUCAUUUUGUAACUCUUCUGGUUUUAUCCAGAUCGGACCUUACAUAUAAUUAAGUCAGCUUCAGUAUAUAAUAGAAGAAUAUGGAGAUAACGAACAGUAUUCAAUCUCAAAGUCCAUAAAACUAUACAAAAUAAGAGCAGAGCAAACACGGACCCCCGAAACAUCAGAGGUGGGAUCAGGUGCCAUAAUAAAACACCUAUUUACUUACUAUUCGGAAAAUAGCUUGUUUAUCAUCUCCCUCAACAGCAAACUAUUUCUCUCAGCUGCAUCUUGGGGAAUAGUUGUUGUCUUGGGGGACGAUAAACUAGCUUUUGUCCUUAUAGCCAGUAAAUAGGUGUACAUGAAUACUGUUUUUAGCUCCUCUGAGCCAAAGGCUCAAAGAGCUAAUGCUAUGGCCAUUUGUGCGGUGUGCAUAAACUUUUUAGAAUGUGGGCCAUAACUCAAGAUCCCCUUGGACAAUCAUUGUCAAAUUUUCACAGAGCAUCCUUGGUCCAAGGGCUACCAUUUAUACUAAAAUUAGGGUUUGGACCCUUAUACAAGGGGAGAUAAA